AGAGAACUGGGUGGAGACCAGCGUUUCAGGGCAAUAAACUCUCCAGCAGCCAAAACGGAGAAAAGCGAGGGAGGCCCAGGCCUGCCCAGCCCCAGGCAGCACGCCCAGGCCAGGCAAUUACCUUCAGUGGCCGGCAGGAGACCUCUGCAGGUGCUGCCUGCCCUGCCUCUGCGGCACAUCCUCACCUAGUGACCAUCUCCUCGAGGACGUGGAGCUCACAUGUGGGGCCGUGAGGACAGCUCCGAGACCAGAGCCUCCCCCCUGCACACUGACCCAGCAAUGAGAGUGUCCUGGGCUCCGAAGGCCCUGGGUCAUCUUCGUCCUCACCCCUUGUACUGCUGAAGAAGCUCCGGAGAUGAGCAGAUAUUUAGGGAGGGCCUAAUGUUCACCAUGUCCAGUGGAGGAAGACAGAGAAAAGCCACAUGCAUGUCCCAUCCCCAAAUUGCCCCAAAGGGGCCACUGCUGGUGUGGGAGUGGCUGUGAGCUGAGGGGUGGCAACAGCUAGGACAGGACUCCUCUUCUAGGGAGGCUGAGUUCUCUCCUACAUGGUGUAGUCCUAGAGGACUUCCUGGAGGAAGAGGCAUGUCAGGGGCCCCUGGAGACUGGACAUCUCUCCAGGCCCUAGUUUUCUUGCCUGUGACAUGAGAAAAGAGGCUUGUCCUGUUUGCUGUGUGGGGUGUUCACAGGAAGGAGCAGAUGGGCUCAUGGACAGGAAGGCACAGGGGCUUCUUCAUCUUCUGUUACACUGUUUGCAAAAUGGAUCCAGGAGUCACAGUGUCCAGUAGGCCCUGGCACCUGGAGGCUGAGUCUGGAGCCGGCCAUGGCAGUUUGGUGCUGCGGGUCCCCCACCCCCAAGGCUGUCCCACCACCCCGGGGAAGGCAUCGGGGGCUUGAGCCGUUGGAGGGCCUCGCUCUGAGCAGGCCGGGAUGGCAGGGCCAAGCGUCAGCUCGCUCCCCACAAGGCAUCAGUGGAGCAAAGAGGAAGCUGGGCUGGUGCAACUGGGGCCUUCGUGUCUGCGAUCUCAGGAGCUUGUGCAACGCACAGGAUCCGGAAAACUGGCUGCCUGUGGCCGCACGCAACCAGCACGCCAAGGGUCACCUGGGAGGCAGCCCGCACCCCAGGACAACCAUAGGUCACCCUCGCCUAGCUGGGGAGCUGGUGGGACCCCAGCCCUUUGGGCCCUUCUGGCUGCGGAGGCCCACACCUGCCCAGGCACGGAGAACGAGCUGGCCCUCGGAGGAAGCCAAGCUCUGGUCUUAGAACCGUCCCGGGUUUGAGUCCUGUCCCAAAAGCUGUGGCAAGUGCUUUGCUCUUGUGUACAUGGGGCUCGUAAAGGGACUACCUGAGAGUGCCCUGAGACUAGGCCAGGGCCACGUCCCAGUCCUCCGCAGUGCCAUCGGCCCACUUUGCCCCUCUGGGCUCCUAUUAGAAAGGGGAGCUGAUGGGAUUCCUGGGUGGCGCAGCGGUUUAGCGCCUGCCUUUGG
rnacentral:lncRNA from 1 species